GGGACUACAGGCACGAGCCACCAUGCCCGGCUAAUUUUUGUGUUUUUUAGUAGAGACAAGCUUUCACUAUAUUAGCCAGGCUGGUCUCGAACCCCUGACCUCGUGAUCCGCCCACCUCGGCCUCCCCAAGUGCAGGGAUUACAGAUGUGAGCCACCGCGCCCGGCCAACUGCUAGAGUUUUAACAGACCUUUCAGGUGGCUCUGAUGUGACUGAGCUUUGAGAAUCUCUGCCCUAACCCACCAUUUCUAACUCCAAAGCCCAAGGUCUUUCUGGUACUAGAUGAUGGCUGAGGCCUGCAGCCAAUUAGUGGGAAGGGCUGCUGGGGAUGUUAGAGGCAGAGGAAUAAGCGGCCUGACACUCAGCUCCGGGGACACCAAAUAGGUGCUGGCCCUUGUAACCCAGUGAGGAGGCAGCGCUCAUUCCUUUAUCUUAAAAUAUGUCCUGAGCACUUACUGCAUGCCAGAGCCUGGUGCAAAUGCUUAGGGCUUACUAGGAACCUGGGGGUGGAGGGAGCAGGGUUGAUGUGAAGGCUGGGUAUUGAACACAAAGAAUUUGGGUCUUUUGGGGCUCCUGUGGUCUGGUCCACUCCUUGGAGAUACCCACCAGGAGAUGACUCAGCCUUCCUAGUCCAGGAAGGCCCCCGCCUCUUUUUCUGUGAGCCCAGCCAUCACCUUAUUGCCUUCAGCAUGUCCUGAAUGGAUUUUGUCACUGUUACUGGGGCCUGCAAAGCACACAGCCCUCGUGGUCCAGCUAAGACCACCUGGCCACAGGCCGGCCCACAGCCGUACUUGCAGGGUGAACCAAAGUCAAGGAAGGGUCCAGAGAAGCUGGGUCUGAAUGCCACCCACCACUUCCCCAUGUCAGGAGAUGACACUUAUGUGGACACCCCAGGGAUUCCUAUGAUUCCUCCAACCCAUCACCUUUUCUAGAGCACCCCUCACUCCUCUCUCCAGAGUCUCCCACCUUUCCAGCACUGGCUUCCCAAGUUCCACUCUCUGCAGCCUCCAUCUGUGGCCUGGACCCCAGGAUCCAACCCCCUAAACUCCUUCUAGGCAACCAUCUUGGGCAACUUCACCCAAUGACAACCUAUGCUCCUCCUGUUAUUGACAGCCCUGAAAAAAUGGAGUUCAAGGUCAUAGGCCCCAUUGGACCUGAUAUCUUCACCAGGCUCCUGAGAACCCAACUGAGCAGCCCUGUCCUCAGAUUCCAGCUCGGACAUAACAUUGGGGGUCAGAAAACUGACUCCCAAGGUACAAACUGGAACAGCCAGGGGCAACUGUUUGAAAAUGCUGCAGAAACAUGAGAAAUGUUCAUGAAGUGACCCUGUGGAGGCUUCCGGUCACAGGAUCAUGUGAGCGCCACGAUCACCCCAGGGGUGGAGCAGAUGCUAAGUGUUCACCACACCCAAUUCUCUUCCUGGACACACAGGAAGAUGACAUUUCCAGUGACAUGCCCCACCUCUAGGCCCUAGUCUUUUUUUUAUUUAAAGGUCUGAGUCUUGUUCUGUCACCCAGGCUGGAGUGCAGUGCUGUGAUCAUGACUCACUGCAGCCUCAACCUCCUGUGCUCAAACAAUCCUCCCACCUCAGCCUCCCUAAUAGCUGAUGUCAUAUAGGCAUGAGCCAGUGUGCCUGGCUCAGGCCCUACCCUUAAAAGCAUCCCACCUGAUUCACCAGCCCCCUUCUCUCUCUCAGUAAACUUGGAAACCACGCAUUCCAGAUGGUAUAAUUUACAGCAUGAUGGAAAAAGCCAGCUCUCCAUGGGAAGCUGGCCAGUCUUCAUUGGAGUACAUUUUUAUUGCAUGAAGCCAAUGAGACUUGAUAUUGUUUAACUCUGUGGUUUCCAAAGUGCGGUCCUUUUGAAGUAUCCAUAAAGUCUACACUAGGUUCACGGUAAUAUUAAGAUGUUAUUUGUCAGCUGGGCACGGUGGCUCACGCCUAUAAUCUCAGCACUUUGGGAGGCCAAGGCAAAUGGAUAAUGAGGUCAGGAGUUUCAGACCAGCCUGGCCAACAUGGUGAAACCCAGUCUCUACUAAAAAUACAAAAAUUACCUGGGUGUGGUGAUGCAUGCCUGUAAUCCCAGCUACUCAGGAGGAGGCUGAGGCAGGAGAAUUGCUUGAAUCCGGGAGGCAGAGAUUGCAGUGAGCUGAAAUCUCACCACUGCACUCCAGCCUGGGUGAUGGAGCAAGACACUGUCUCAAAAAAAAAAAAAAAGAUAUUAUUUGUCUUUCAUGAGUGUACAGUGGGAUUUUCCAGAGGCUACAUGACAUGUGUUUUUUUAUUUUGUUUUUUAUACUGACAGAGGGGUCUUGCUAUGUUGCCCAGACUGGUCUUCCAACUCCUGGCCUCAAGUGAUCCUCCCGCCUUCACCUCCCAAAGUGCUGGGAUUAUAGGUGUGAGCCACUGCGCCUGGCUGUUUGUGACAUGUGAUGUUGAAACAGGUUGAGUAUAGAAGCAGAUAUGGGAAUUAAACCAGAAUAUUAAACCAGACAUUGAAGAGAUUUGCAAAAAAUACAAAACAAUACCACUGUUUUCACUUUCUUUUUGGUUUGGAAAAAUGUAGUUAUUUUUCAUUAAAAGUAUGUUGUGUUGGCUGGGCACAGUGGCUCAUGCCUGUAAUCUCAACGCUGGGAGACUGAGGUGGGAGGAUCACUUGAGAUCAGGAGUUCGAGACCAGCCUGACCAACAUAAUGAAACCCCAUCUCUACUAACAAUAUAAAAAUUAGCUGGGCUGGCUGAGCGCGGUGGCUCACGCCUGUAAUCCCAGCACUUUGGGAGGCCAAGGCGGGCGGAUCAUGAGGUCAGGAGAUCGAGACCAUCCUGGCUAACA
rnacentral:lncRNA from 1 species